CUAAAGUGUAAAUAUAAACAAUAAUAUUUAUAAGCAUACACAAAGCAAAAUAUUUUCAACUCACGGCACUAUUGAAGAAUCUCAGUUAAGUAAUUCAGGAUAAUUUUAAUUCAGUAUUUUCUUCGAGUUGUCUGACCGUAUCACUCAACGAAAUAGAAUAACAGGUUCCGAGCCACACAGAAAAGGACUUCAUCCUCUAGAAAGACAACUGUCGAGGAGCAAAAUCAACUAGUUACAAUGGUGCCCUUGGAAAAGGAAAGUCGACGAGAUUCGCGUACAACCAAAUAUCAAGAGUCAACGUACAGAGGAGAAAAUAAGGCUACAAAAGUAACAACAAACUGGAGUCGAGAAAGGAUGUUAAAUGAAAGCGAUAGAAUGGCCAAACAACAUUUUAUGUGCUACAAUAUUAAUCAGAGAUGCACUGAACUACCAAGCAAAGAAAGAGUAUUUCCCGUAUUAUUCACACGGCAAUAAUACAUAAACCUGAUGUUAUAACUAAACUUGAUGGUUUUGCUGAACUUGAUGUUAUAGUGCAAUAAUAAUAUCAAAUAAAGAUACACGAAUACUUGUUAUACGA